GAGACAUUGAUUUAUUCACUUAGUUAGCGGUCAGCUAGAAGUAAUAAACAAAAAAUAAUAUAAUGGAAUUGUGGACUCAAAUUGUGCUGUUGAUGAUGGUGUCGGGAUUCAUCGGGGCCUUCAUAGCUGUUGUUGUAGCGGAAGAGUUUGAAGAAGACCUUCCUCUGCCACCUCGUCGACGGUGACGUCCUCUAAUUUACGUACCUAUAAUUUAUUUUUAAACAACUGUAAAAUUGUUAGGUUUUGUUAAUUAAAUGUUUUCUUAAA